CUAGAAAUGGCAGAAAUCUUGCUUGAUGCCAUUGAGACUAUUUACUUGAUGUACAAAAAUGACAGAAUAAGACAAGCUUUUUACAACAUCAUCAAGUUGAAGCCUGGGUCAACUGUUGCUCCAGCGAAUUAAUAACAGAGAAUGCUGGUGUGUUGAAAUAAAUAUCCAGAUUCCUUCACUACUUA